CUUUCAGGUGGCUUCAUGCAUCAUCUCGGUAUUCAAGAGAGAAAACCCAGUGGAACAUUCUCAAACGAUAAUGGGAACAAAACAAAAAAAACAUGUCAGCCUGAGCUGAUCUCCAGAGUGUGUCUAGUUCCACAUCUUCAUCCUAUGGACGGGAAGACCAGGGCUCUCACCAGUGCUCUCAGGGACACAUCCCAGAUGGCCAACACUGAAAAUCUGCACUCCGAGGGGGGAGACCAGCAGGUCACUGCCACUCGGCUUCCAGAGGGCAAGAAAAACCAACCAGUAGAGCUGGAAGGAUAUUUCUCAACCACAUGGGAGAGGUGUCCUCUCUCCAACUUGGUCCCUGCCCCGAGAGGCUGACCUGCAUGGACUCCAUCGCCAGCUCCCAAGGCUUCCAGCUUCCAGUAGAAUUUGGCCAACAGAGCACACCACCUGGGAAUCUGAGGGAGGGAGAGGGUGAGGCUGGAGAUUCAUUCACUCCCUGGCUCCUUGACUGUGGCUUCACAGGGAGGGAUGGAUAACCUCAGCCAAAGUUAACAGGUGACCCCUCCUCUCCAUUCCCCUCCCCCCCUCAGAUCUGGCGACAGCUCCUUUCUCUUGCCACUUCAGGCCCAGCUGUAGUAAUGGUGCCCCACUGCUACUCUUGCCUAGGGGGAGCUGUACUGUCCCCGGUGAUUUCCUUUAUAGCCAGUUUGCACUUUUGUACAUAGUUCCUUCAUUAAACCAGAUGGAAUGUCCCAUUGCUUCCAGCUGAGACCCUGACUGAUACAGAUAGUUUUCUGUCACUUACAACCAAUAACCUCAAUUAUUCCAGGAAAUAAGAUACUUCGAGUGUUCCUUUAUGCCAAGCAUGGUGUGAAGUCCUUCACUUAUUUUACCUCAUUCGCUUCUCACAAUAACUGCCUUGGCUCGUCAUGCAGGUUUUCCAAAAAUGGUUCAGUUUACCCCUCUGGCCAAUGGCUCUUACACCUGCCAAUGCUGAAUUACUUUUGGCCUCUUCAUGUAGGUGAUUCCUUCUACGUGCACACUCCCAUUGCUACCACACAUGGCCUUUCUUGAUGCAUUCCUAGUCCUGUCUUAAGACACUGCUCAAGAGCUACCUCCUCCUUGAAGUCCUCCUUGCUACGUCAUUCCCUCAAGAAGAGUAUGUCUUCCUUCUUGGUUGAAUCGCCUUGGUCAUCCUCCAACCAGAGAGCUGAGUGAAUUGUAAAGCAACCUCUUUCUGGGAUCU